AAUUCUAAGGCCAGCGGGAGAAGGGUUGUUAAGGAACUCGGCAAAUUGACCCCGUAACUUCGGGAUAAGGGGAGCCUCCUACGGGAGGCCGCAGUGAAUAGGCCCAAGCAACUGUUUACCAAAAACACAGGUCUCUGCUAAAUCGAAAGAUGACGUAUAGGGGCUGACGCCUGCCCGGUGCCGGAAGGUUAAGAGGAGAGCUUAGCGCAAGCGAAGGUUCGAAUUGAAGCCCCGGUAAACGGCGGCCGUAACUAUAACGGUCCUAAGGUAGCGAAAUUCCUUGUCAGGUAAGUUCUGACCCGCACGAAUGGCGUAAUGAUCUGGGCACUGUCUCGACAGCCCACCCGGCGAAAUUGUAGUACUGGUGAAGAUGCCAGUUACCCGCAACUAGACGGAAAGACCCCAUGGAGCUUUACUGCAGCUUAAUACUGGAAAUCGGUAAUUCAUGUACAGGAUAGGUGGGAGACGGAGAAGCAUGGUCGUCAGGUCAUGUGGAGUCGCCCUUGGGAUACCACUCUUGGAUUGCUGGUUUUCUAACCUGCGGCCGUGAAUCCGGUCGGGGGACACUGUUAGGCGGGCAGUUUGACUGGGGCGGUCGCCUCCAAAAAGGUAACGGAGGCGCUCAAAGGUUCGUUCAGCACGGACGGAAAUCGUGCAUUGAGUGUAAACGCAUAAACGAGCCUAACUGCGAGACCGACGGGUCGAGCAGUAACGAAAGUUGGAGUUAGUGAUCCGGUGGUAUGUGAGUGGAAAUGCCAUCGCUCAACGGAUAAAAGCUACCCUGGGGAUAACAGGCUGAUCUCCCCCAAGCGUCCACAGCGACGGGGAGGUUUGGCACCUCGAUGUCGGCUCGUCGCAUCCUGGGGCUGAAUUCGGUCCCAAGGGUUUGGCUGUUCGCCAAUUAAAGCGGCACGCGAGCUGGGUUCAGAACGUCGUGAGACAGUUCGGUCCCUAUCUGUUGCGGGCGUAAGAGAUUUGAAGGGAGCUGUCCUUAGUACGAGAGGACCGGGAUGGACGUACCUCUGGUGCACCAGUUGUCCUGCCAAGGGCAUAGCUGGGUAGCUAUGUACGGACGAGAUAAACGCUGAAAGCAUCUAAGCGUGAAACUCCCCCUAAGAUGAGAUCUCUCAUUCGAAAGAAGUAAGGACCCAGAGAGACGAUCUGGUUGAUAGGCGCGAGGUGGAAGUGCAGUAAUGUAUGGAGCUGACGCGUACUAAUAGUCCGAGGGCUUGACCU
rnacentral:rRNA from 1 species